AUUAUUUUAAGAUUAUUUUUUAUUGUUGAAAAAAUUAAAAAUAAAUUGUUUUUAACAAAAAUUAAAAUUUAUAAUAUUUCAUUUUUUGGUUUUUUGUUUUAAAUUAAAAUAAUAAAUAUGGGGGAAAAAAAAAUUUUGUUAUAAAUUAUAUUAGUUUAUUUUAAUUAAAAAUAUUUUUUAUUAAAUUUGUUUUUUUUAUUUUUUUAUAAAAAAUAUUAAUUUAAUUAUUAUUAUUGAGUUUAAUUUAGUUAUUUUUAAAAAAAUUUUGUAUAAAAUAAAUUUGAUAAUAAAUGUUUUUUAAAUUCUUUGGGGGUUUAGUUUAUGAUUUUUUGUUUCUGCUCAUUGUUAAAUAAAAGCACUUUUAGCGUGAUUGGUCAAAGGUA
rnacentral:rRNA from 2 species